CUUGUUGGCGGGAGACUGGGUAGGGGGUGUUGAGCUGUGUGUUGUGUUAGCCGGGUGGAUACAGUGUGAUUGUGGGGCAAGGGGGGAUGUGAGUGGUCCCUUAACGGCUUCGUGGAAAUUGUGGUCCCUUAAGGGCUCAGGGAAAUUGAAUAAAGGGAACACCAAGAUGGAGAGCAAGCGGAAGGCUUCGGCCGGAGGCUCUGGUGGGGGGGAGCCCACUCCGUCACAACGGAAGAAGCCUCGUGGAGGAGAUUGGGAAGAUGAUGGGCCCUCACAGUUUGAAGAGGAGCUGGCUUUUCUGGAUGAGAUGGAAGCCGAGAUGGCUCUGGAAGCGAAGGAAGCCCAGGGGACUUCUGAUGCUGUCCCUCUAGGUAAUCUCAUCUCGUCGGUGCGGAAUCCCAAGUGGCAGAGACCGCCACUUCCCAAAAUGAACCCCAAAGAGGAUGCUUUGUGUUUCCAGCAAGUGGAUCUAGAUUAUUAUGUGGGUUCUCACAUGCCUGGGUUCCCAGGAUCCACCCAGGGUCCAGUUCCGGUGCUGCGGAUGUUUGGUGUCACCACGACCGGCAACAGCGUCUGCUGCCAUAUUCAUGGCUUUGCCCCUUAUUUCUAUGUGCCUGCCCCGAAUGGCUUCCAAGCGACGCACCUGUCUGAUUUCCAGCGGGAGCUGAACACAGCUGUCCUACGGGACAUGCGGUCUAACAAGGAUGGUUUGAGUCAGGCUGUUUUGGCGGUGGAAAUUUGCAACAAGCAAAACAUGUACGGCUACCACGGGCAACAUCUCCUACCCUACCUGAAAAUUACAAUGGCGUUGCCCCGGCUGAUUGCCCCAGCCAAGAGACUGCUGGAACAAGGGCUGCGGUGUGGAGCGUUGGGGACACACAACUAUCAAGCCUUCGAGUCUAACAUUGACUUUGAGAUCAGGUUCAUGGUGGACCAGGACAUCGUCGGCUGCAACUGGAUUGAGUUGCCGGCUGGCAAAUACCGCUUGAGGCCGGAACAACCCGCCGGGGAAUCCAACAAGGAGAACCCGCCCAAGGUGUCGCUCUGUCAGCUGGAGGCUGAUGUGGCCUGGAUGGAUUUCAUUAGCCACCCACCAGAAGGGAGAAAGUGGCAGCCAUCGCCCAUGCAGAUACUCAGUUUUGACAUUGAGUGUCGCCGCUCAGGUAUUUUUCCUGAACCAGAAAAGGAUCCGGUGAUCCAGAUCGCCAACAUGGUCCUGCGCCAGGGGGAGAAGGAUCCUUUCGUGCGCAACGUCUUCACCUUGCAGAGCUGCGCCUCUAUUGUGGGCUCCCAGGUGCUCUGUUUCUCCAAAGAGGAUGAGCUGCUGAAGGCCUGGGCUGAAUUCAUACGAAUUGUGGACCCUGACGUCAUCACCGGUUACAACAUCCAGAACUUUGACCUUCCGUAUCUCAUUAACCGUGCCCAAACCCUCAAGGUCUCCAUUUUCCCCUUCCUCGGCCGCAUCUUCGCCCGCAAGUCCGUCAUCCGCGACUCUUCCUUCCAGUCCAAGCAGAUGGGCCGGCGGGAGAACAAAGUCAUUAACAUGGAAGGCCGGAUCCAGUUUGAUCUCCUUCAGGUCCUGCUGCGGGAUUACAAAUUGCGCUCUUACACCCUGAACGCCGUCAGCUAUCACUUUCUGCAGGAACAGAAGGAAGACGUGCAGCAUUCCAUCAUCACAGACCUGCAGAAUGGUUCCGACCAAUCGCGGCGGCGUCUGGCCGUGUACUGCCUCAAGGACGCCUACUUGCCUCUGCGGCUCUUGGAGAAGCUCAUGUGCGUCAUCAACUACAUGGAGAUGGCAAGAGUCACCGGCGUCCCUCUCAACUACCUCUUGGCACGGGGGCAGCAGAUCAAGGUGGUCUCGCAGCUCCUCAGACAGGCUAUGAAGCAGGAUCUGGUGAUGCCGGUGGUGAAAUCAGAAGGCGGGGAAGACUACGCUGGUGCAACCGUCAUCGAGCCGCUGAAGGGCUAUUAUGAUGUGCCCAUUGCUACCUUGGACUUCUCUUCCCUGUACCCAUCCAUCAUGAUGGCGCACAACCUGUGCUAUACCACGCUGCUGCAACAGGGGGCAGUAGAGAGCUAUGGGCUGUCACCAGAGCAGUUCAUCCGCACCCCGACCGGGGACCGCUUUGUGAAGGCGUCUGUUCGCAAAGGGCUGCUGCCUGAAAUCUUGGAGAACUUGUUGGCAGCCCGCAAGAGGGCCAAGGGAGAGCUCCAGCGGGAGACCGAUCCGUUCAAGCGCCAGGUGUUAGACGGGCGGCAGCUAGCCCUGAAGGUCAGCGCCAACUCUGUUUACGGCUUCACUGGCGCCCAGGUGGGCAAGCUGCCGUGCCUGGAGAUCUCGCAGAGUGUGACUGGAUUCGGACGUCAGAUGAUCGAGAAGACGAAGCAGCUGGUAGAAUCCAAAUACACCAUUGCCAAUGGCUACAGCGCUGAUGCCAAGGUAGUGUACGGGGACACGGACUCCGUGAUGUGCCGCCUGGGUGUGCCGACCGUCGCCGAGGCUAUGGAAAUAGGCAGGGAAGCGGCCGCUUGGGUCUCCAGUCAUUUUGUACCCCCCAUCAAGCUGGAGUUUGAGAAGGUGUACUUUCCCUACCUCCUCAUCAACAAAAAGCGUUACGCCGGCCUGUACUUUUCGUCCAGCCCCGACACACACGACAAGAUGGACUGCAAAGGGAUCGAAACGGUGCGCCGUGACAACUGCCCCCUAGUGGCGAACCUCAUCAACACUUGUCUGCAGAAGCUGCUCAUAGAUCGAGACCCUUCAGGUGCCGUGGACCACGCCAAAGAGGUCAUCUCUGACCUGCUGUGUAACAGAGUGGACAUCUCGCAGCUGGUAAUUACCAAGGAGCUGACCCGCACGGCAGAUGAGUACGCAGGGCGCCAGGCCCACGUGGAGCUGGCUGAGCGGAUGCGUCGGCGGGACCCCGGGAGCGCCCCCAACUUGGGGGACCGAGUGCCUUACGUCAUCAUCAGUGCCGCCAAAGGGGUCGCAGCUUACAUGAAAUCUGAAGAUCCGAUCUACGUGCUGGAGAACAACCUGCCCAUUGACACCCAGUAUUACCUGGAGCAGCAGCUGGCCAAGCCGCUCCUGCGCAUCUUUGACCCCAUCUUGGGAGAGACCAAGGCGCAAAACGUUCUGCUGAAGGGGGACCAUACCCGCUGCAAGACCGUGCUGACGGCCAAAGUCGGGGGGCUCAUGGCUUUCGCCACCAAGCGAAGCACCUGCAUCGGCUGUCGGGCGGUGCUCAGCCACCACGGCGCUGUCUGCAAAUUCUGCUUAGGCCACCAGUCUGAGCUCUACCAGAAGGAGGUAGCCCACCUGAGCUCCCUGGAGGAGAAAUUCUCCCGCUUAUGGACGCAGUGUCAACGCUGUCAGGGCAGCCUGCACGAGGACGUCUUGUGCACCAGAGCGAGAAUAUAAUCGAGACAAAGAGAGAAGAACUGUAUCUAACGUUAGAUGUCGCUUGCAGAGUUCCAUCCCUGCCGUGACUGCCCCAUCUUCUACAUGCGGAAGAAAGUGCAGAAGGACCUUGACGAUCAGGAAGCGCUGAUCUCACGCUUUGGCCCUCCGACGUGGUGACGCUUCCUCUGCCUCUUUGGAACGGACUGAAGCUCUCCCCCCAGCCCCAGGCUGGGUGCCAUUGCAGGGGAAAUUGAUCUUUUAUCGCGGGACGCCAAUCAACGCCAUCCCGCAUUCUGGGUGUAUCUGUCAAAGCCAGGGUUCCGGAAGUGGUGUCAUGCUCAGCCCUGGGCUGAACGAUCGCAUAGACCUGUCUUUGUAAAAUGAGUUUCUACAAAUAAAAGUAUUCCUUUUUUUCCCCCUU